rnacentral:rRNA from 1 species
GAUGAACGCUGGCGGCGUGCUUAACACAUGCAAGUCGAACGAAGCACCUUGAGAUCUUCGGAAGGAAAGGUGACUGAGUGGCGGACGGGUGAGUAACGCGUGGGUAACCUGCCUCAUACAGGGGGAUAACAGUUAGAAACGACUGCUAAUACCGCAUAAUGUACCGUGAGGGCAUCCUCGUGGUACCAAAGGAGCAAUCCGCUGAAAGAUGGGCUCAUAUCUGAUUAGCUAGUUGGUGAGGUAACGGCUCACCAAGGCUUCGAUCAGUAGCCGGACUGAGAGGUUGAACGGCCACAUUGGGACUGAGAUACGGCCCAG